CCUACGGGAGGCAGCAGUGAGGACUAUUGGUCCAUGGGCUUACGCCUGAACCAGCCAAGUCGCGUGAGGGAAGACUGCCCUGUGGAUUGUAAACCUCUUUUGUCAGGGAGCAAUUGGCGCUACGUGUAGCGUUAUCUAGAGUACCUGAAGAAAAGGCAUCGGCUAACUCCGUGCCAGCAGCCGCGGUAAUACGGAGGAUGCGAGCGUUAUCCGGAUUUAUUGGGUUUAAAGGUUGCGUAGGCGGACUGCAAAGUCAGCGGUAAAAUCGCGGGGCUAAACCUCGCGGUGCCGUUGAAACUGGCGUGCUGGAGUGGGCGAGAAGUACGCGGAAUGCGUGGUGUAGCGGUGAAAUGCAUAGAUAUUACGCAGAACUCCGAUUGCGAAGGCAGCAUACCGGCGCCCAACUGACGCUGAAGCACGAAAGCGUGGGUAUCGAACAGGAUUAGAUACCCGAGUAGUC
rnacentral:rRNA from 1 species